rnacentral:rRNA from 1 species
AUGCUGAGCAAUAUCCUUGUAAUGCAAGGACUACAAGAAGUAUCAACGAUCAGGGUCAACAACAUCGAGUCACUCCAUGAGGUGGUGGAGCUGCUGGCUCGGUCGGAGAGGCUGAGCAUCCUUGGCUUGAGCUUUGACGGACUAAGCACAUCUCUGGAUAGUGCACGUGCAUUCACCGAUUUAUUGAGGGCGGUUGGACAGUCUAAACUUUGGUCCCUAUCUCUGCAUUGUCUUCAUGGUGACUGGAUUGGCCUACUGGACUCGAGACCAUACCAGCUGCGAAGAUUUGAGGUGUCUAUACCUGUUCCAGUCUUGGAAAGUACUGUAUUUAUUAUUCCCUGCUGUAUCACACACUUGAAUAUUGAAGUGGCUCAGUUGGGAGAGGAAGGUCUCAUUGUCAUUGCGUCCAUGCCCCAGCUUGUCCUUCUCAAGUUAGCAUCUUCAGGACCUGCUGCUGCCACGAUGGACACAGACACAUCCUUACGAAAACAGAGAAGAAGAGCGAGAAUUAGGAGGGGAGCCUUUAUGUGUCUUAAGGUGUUCUGGUUCACAUGCAAGGCUGGUGGGAAUGAGGUGCAGUUUGAUCCAGGAGCCAUGCCACAGCUGCAGGGGCUGCGGCUCCACUUCAACACUCUAGAGACGCUGUCCCUUUAUGGAGAUUUUGAGUUUGGCAUUGAGCAUCUCUCUAGUCUCAACAGAAUCCAAGCGACCUUCACAUGUGAGGAUACUGCCGCUCCAGAGGUGGGGCAUGCAGAGGCUGCCAUCAAACAGCAAGUAUCUCAGAUCUCCUCCACCAACACACCAACAAUAGAGUUCAGCAGAGAGAAACCCAGGAUGCUCGAGGAGAAAAAGAAGACGGUGGCCAUGAUCACCCAGAAAAGUAGCUUCAGUAGAUGGUUGAGGGGAAAAAAGAGAGGAUAG